rnacentral:rRNA from 1 species
UUGGAGGGCAAGUCUGGUGCCAGCAGCCGCGGUAAUUCCAGCUCCAAUAGCGUAUAUUAAAGUUGUUGCAGUUAAAAAGCUCGUAGUUGAAUUUCGGGGUUAGUAGGUUGGUCAUGCCUCUGGUAUGUACUGGUCUCACUGAUUCCUCCUUCCUGAUGAGCCGUAAUGCCAUUAAUUUGGUGUUGCGGGGAAUUUGGACUGUUACUUUGAAAAAAUUAGAGUGUUUAAAGCAAGCUAACGCUUGAAUACAUUAGCAUGGAAUAAUGAAAUAGGACGUUCGAUCCUAUUUUGUUGGUUUCUAGGAUUGACGUAAUGAUUAAUAGGGAUAGUUGGGGGCAUUAGUAUUCAAUUGUCAGAGGUGAAAUUCUUGGAUUUAUUGAAGACUAACUACUGCGAAAGCAUUUGCCAAGGAUGUUUUCAUUAAUCAAGAACGAAGGUUAGGGGAUCGAAGACGAUCAGAUACCGUCGUAGUCUUAACCAUAAACUAUGCCGACUAGGGAUCGGAUGAUGUUAAUUUUUUAAUGACUCAUUCGGCGCCUUACGGGAAAC